CUACGAAGGUCCCAAGCGUUAUUCGGAAUCACUGGGCGUAAAGAGUACGUAGGCGGUUUGGUAAGUCAGGUGUGAAAUCCCGGAGCUCAACUCCGGAACUGCAUCCGAUACUGCCAGACUUGAGUAAUGGAGAGGCAGGUGGAAUUCUCGGUGUAGCAGUGAAAUGCGUGGAUAUCGAGAGGAAGACCAAUGGCGAAGGCAGCCUGCUGGACAUUUACUGACGCUGAGGUACGAAGGCUAGGGGAGCGAAAGGGAUUAGAAACCCGAGUAGUCC
rnacentral:rRNA from 1 species